GACGAACGCUGGCGGCGUGCCUAACACAUGCAAGUCGAACGGAAAGGCCCUGCUCUUGUGGGGUGCUCGAGUGGCGAACGGGUGAGUAACACGUGAGUAACCUGCCCUUGACUUUGGGAUAACUUCAGGAAACUGGGGCUAAUACCCGAUAGGAGCUACUGCUGCAUGGUGGGGGUUGGAAAGAUUCGGCGGUGGUGGAUGGACUCGCGGCUUAUCAGCUUGUUGGUGGGGUAGUGGCUUACCAAGGCUUUGACGGGUAGCCGGCCUGAGAGGGGGACCGGCCACCUUGGGACUGAGAUACGGCCCAGACGCCUACGGGAGGCAGCAGUGGGGAAUAUUGCGCAAUGGGCGGAAGCCUGAUGCAGCGACGCCGCGUGCGGGAUGACGGCCUUCGGGUUGUAAACCGCUGUGGCCUGUGACGAGGCGUGAGUGACGGUAAUGGGUAAGGAAGCACCGGCUAACUACGUG
rnacentral:rRNA from 1 species